AUUGAACGCUGGCGGCAGGCUUAACACAUGCAAGUCGAGCGGGGUGAUGGUGCUUGCACUAUCACUUAGCGGCGGACGGGUGAGUAAUGCUUAGGAAUCUGCCUAUCAGUGGGGGACAACAUCUCGAAAGGGAUGCUAAUACCGCAUACGUCCUACGGGAGAAAGCAGGGGAUCACUUGUGACCUUGCGCUAAUAGAUGAGCCUAAGUCGGAUUAGCUAGUUGGUGGGGUAAAGGCCUACCAAGGCGACGAUCUGUAGCGGGUCUGAGAGGAUGAUCCGCCACACUGGGACUGAGACACGGCCCAGACUCCUACGGGAGGUAGCAGUGGGGAAUAUUGGACAAUGGGGGGAACCCUGAUCCAGCCAUGCCGCGUGUGUGAAGAAGGCCUUACGGUUGUAAAGCACUUUAAGCGAGGAGGAGGCUCUUUUGGUUAAUACCCAAGAUGAGUGGACGUUACUCGCAGAAUAAGCACCGGCUAACUCUGUGCCAGCAGCCGCCGUAA
rnacentral:rRNA from 1 species